UACAGAGGUCUCAAGCGUUGUUCGGAUUCAUUGGGCGUAAAGGGUGUGUAGGUGGCGCCGUAAGUCGGGUGUGAAAUUUCGGAGCUUAACUCCGAAACUGCAUUCGAUACUGCGGUGCUUGAGGACUGGAGAGGAGACUGGAAUUCAUGGUGUAGCAGUGAAAUGCGUAGAGAUCAUGAGGAAGACCAGUGGCGAAGGCGGGUCUCUGGACAGUUCCGUGACAGCUGAGGCACGAAGGCCAGGGGAGCAAACGGG
rnacentral:rRNA from 1 species